UACGGAGGAUGCAAGCGUUAUCCGGAAUUAUUGGGCGUAAAGGGAGCGUAGGCGGUUCGGUAAGUCACUUGUGAAAUCUCUGGGCUCAACUCAGAGUCUGCAAGCGAAACUGCCGGGCUGGAGUAUGGGAGAGGUGAGUGGAAUUCCUGGUGUAGCGGUGAAAUGCGUAGAUAUCAGGAGGAACACCUGUGGCGAAAGCGGCUCACUGGACCA
rnacentral:rRNA from 1 species